AGAUUGACAAGGAGCAGUAUGAUAAAAUACUCGGCCUCAUUGAGAGUGGGAAGAAACAAGGAGCCAAACUGGAAUUGGGCGGAGGCCCCUGGGGGAACAAAGGCUACUUCAUCCAGCCCACAGUUUUCUCCAAUGUGACAGAUGAGAUGCGCAUUGCCAAAGAGGAGAUAGAUCGGAAGAGCGUCGUGUAGGGAAAGAGUGUAGAUCUCGGUGGUCGCCAGAUCAUUAAAAAAA